GACGAACGCUGGCGGCGUGCUUAACACAUGCAAGUCGAACGGAAAGGCCCUGCUUGCAGGGUGCUCGAGUGGAGAACGGGUGAGUAACACGUGGGUGAUCUGCCCCUUACUUUGGGAUAAGCCUGGGAAACUGGGUCUAAUACUGGAUAGGACCAUGCUGUAGGUGGUGUGGUGGAAAGAUUAGUUUCGGUAAGGGAUGGGCUCGCGGCCUAUCAGCUUGUUGGUGGGGUAAUGGCCUACCAAGGCGUCGACGGGUAGCCGGCCUGAGAGGGUGGACGGCCACAUUGGGACUGAGAGACGGCGCAGACUCCUACGGGAGGCAGCAGUGGGGAAUAUUGCACAAUGGGCGCAAGCCUGAUGCAGCGACGCCGCGUGGGGGAUGACGGCCUUCGGGUUGUAAACUCCUUUCAGCCAUGACGAAGCCCUUGUGGUGACGGUAGUGGUAGAAGAAGCACCGGCUAACUACGUG
rnacentral:rRNA from 1 species